rnacentral:rRNA from 1 species
UACGUAGGGUGCGAGCGUUGUCCGGAAUUACUGGGCGUAAAGAGCUCGUAGGCGGUCUGUCACGUCGGCUGUGAAAACCCGGGGCUCAACCCCGGGCCUGCAGUCGAUACGGGCAGACUAGAGUGCGGUAGGGGAGACUGGAAUUCCUGGUGUAGCGGUGGAAUGCGUAGAUAUCGGGAGGAACACCAGUGGCGAAGGCGGUUGCCUGGGGCUUUGCUGACGCUGAUGCGCGAAAGCGUGGGGAGCGAUCCGG